GUGCACAGGCAGCCCUGUCAAGCGGUCCUGGAAUUGGCAGUGACGAUGCUGAAUUGCAGGGGCACACUGAUUCUCCGGAGGCCCACACCUUCCUCCUGCCCACCUAGGCCUUAACUGUUUACAGCCUAAAGGGUUCCAGCGUCCUGGACCCUGGUCUGGGGACCAGGAUGACUCAACGCGGCAUCCCCUCCUCCUCGCCAAACAGACGUCUCCGCCUACCCCCAACAAUCUCUGCAAGGCUGUGGGCUCCGAGACUGGGGCGUCUGCUGGGGGCUGCAGGCGCCUAUCUGCUUGUUCCACCCUAGCAGGCCAGGCCGCCCCCUGCCCAGUCUUCAGCUUGCCUUCCUCUACCCGGUCUGCUGAUGAGGUGAAGAAGGGUGCAACCUCGGAACCUGGAGCCUAAGACCCAAGAUCCGCAGCGCACCAGGGGGACAGGUCAAGGUCCCGGGUAUGAUAAUCAGUCAAGAAAAGUGGUUGAGACGGGACAGACCACACUGCAGCUAGAAUUUUCUUCCUGAAUUCUACCCUGGAGAACGUGGACAUAAGAACAGCAGAGACUCGAUUUCAAUAUAUGGGAUUAGCGUUCCCAGACUGUGAGGGAUGUGUGGCCUGCUGCUCCUGCAUAUGUAAGGGCCUUUCCAUCAUCUUACUUGGACAGCAAGAAUCCAGUCCUCUGCUCCAGCCGAGACCAUGGUCCAGGACGUGGAGAGGAGCCCACAACCAGCAAGGACUUGGUUUUCUCCUCUGCCUGGAUAUGCAGGUGUAAGGUAUAUGUGACCCUUAAUCAGAUGUGGUGCUUGGGGCAGAUAUUGAUGACACUGGAGGAGCUGCUUGGAAUUUUCUUUGUGUACACUGGGAAAGGAAGGAGGACGUUGUAAUCAGGGAAGAAGGAGGAAGUGGCCUCAGGGUAAGCAUCCCUGAUUUGGCCUUCCACCAUGUUGAACUACCACCAUAAUGUCCUGUAAUGUAUUCCAG
rnacentral:lncRNA from 1 species